AUCAGCCUUUCGGGUGCGAUUCUGUGGGGUUUGAGGAGCUUAACACCUUCAUGCUUUGCAUAUUCGUGCUCUUGGGUGUACUUGCCCGUGUGGUUGGUUAACAUCAAUUUUGGUGGUCAUAAAAUGACUGGAGGAAUGUAGCUUCGAUCUUGUAUUGAAGUGUUAUAGCCUUCGGUAGAUGUGAUGAUCGAGAUUGAGGAUUGCAACGGAUACCCUUCGGGGCUACCUGUCUGAUCUCUGAUCGUUGCUCUGGUGCCGAAAGCUUGCUUACGGUUAUCAAAGUCGAUGGUCAAUAGGUUAGAACGGGUUAAAUUCGUUAAGGAUGUUAACGUAAUGGCUUU
rnacentral:rRNA from 1 species